rnacentral:rRNA from 1 species
AACGAACGCUGGCGGCAGGCCUAAAACAUGCAAGUCGAACGCCCAGCAAGGGGAGUGGCGCACGGGUGAGUAACGCGUGGGAACGUGCCCUUCAGUACGGGACAACGUCGGGAAACUGACGCUAAUACCGUAUAAUAACUCCGGUUCAAAGAUUUAUCGCUGAAGGAGCGGCCCGCGUCUGAUUAGCUAGUUGGUGAGGUAACGGCUCACCAAGGCUACGAUCAGUAGCAGGUCUGAGAGGAUGAUCUGCCACACUGGGACUGAGACACGGCCCAGACUCCUACGGGAGGCAGCAGUUAGGAAUAUUGGACAAUGGGGGAAACCCUGAUCCAGCCAUGCCGCGUGUGUGAUGAAGGCCCUAGGGUUGUAAAGCACUUUCGUUGGGGAUGAUAAUGACCGUACCCAAAGAAGAAGCACCGGCUAACUUCGUGCCAGCAGCCGCGGUAA